UACGAGGGGGGCUAGCGUUGCUCGGAAUCACUGGGCGUAAAGCGCACGUAGGCGGAUUGCUAAGUCAGGGGUGAAAUCCUGGAGCUCAACUCCAGAACUGCCUUUGAUACUGGCGACCUUGAGUCCGGGAGAGGUGAGUGGAACUGCGAGUGUAGAGGUGAAAUUCGUAGAUAUUCGCAAGAACACCAGUGGCGAAGGCGGCUCACUGGCCCGGUACUGACGCUGAGGUGCGAAAGCGUGGGGAGCAACAGG
rnacentral:rRNA from 1 species